GACGAACGCUGGCGGCGUGCUUAACACAUGCAAGUCGAACGAUGAUGCCAGCUUGCUGGUGGAUUAGUGGCGAACGGGUGAGUAACACGUGAGCAACCUGCCCCUGACUUCGGGAUAACCGCGGGAAACCGUGGCUAAUACCGGAUAUGACGCGCUAUCGCAUGGUGGUGUGUGGAAAGAUUUAUCGGUUGGGGAUGGGCUCGCGGCCUAUCAGCUUGUUGGUGGGUUGAUGGCCUACCAAGGCGACGACGGGUAGCCGGCCUGAGAGGGUGACCGGCCACACUGGGACUGAGACACGGCCCAGACUCCUACGGGAGGCAGCAGUGGGGAAUAUUGCACAAUGGGCGCAAGCCUGAUGCAGCGACGCCGCGUGAGGGAUGACGGCCUUCGGGUUGUAAACCUCUUUCAGUAGGGAAGAAGGCCUUCGGGUUGACGGUACCUGCAGAAGAAGCGCCGGCUAACUACGUG
rnacentral:rRNA from 1 species